CAGUAGCCACGGGAAUACGGAGGGGGCUAGCGUUGUUCGGAAUUACUGGGCGUAAAGCGCACGUAGGCGGCUUGGUAAGUUAGAGGUGAAAGCCCGGAGCUCAACUCCGGAAUUGCCUUUAAGACUGCCGAGCUAGUAGGUGAGAGAGGUAAGUGGAAUUCCGAGUGUAGAGGUGAAAUUCGUAGAUAUUCGGAAGAACACCAGUGGCGAAGGCGGCUUACUGGCCCAUCCUAGACGCUGAGGUGCGAAAGCGUGGGGAGCAAACAGGAUUAGAUACCCCUGUAGUCCCUGUCUCUUAUAU
rnacentral:rRNA from 1 species